rnacentral:rRNA from 1 species
GGCUCCUUGUAAAAAUCAAAUAAGGAGUCGGGCCUGCCCAGUGAGUAUUUUAACGGCCGCGGUAUUCUGACCGUGCAAAGGUAGCAUAAUCAUUUGCCUUAUAAUUGAAGGCUGGAAUGAAUGGUUUAACAAGAAUAUAACUGUCUCUUUAUGAUUUUAUAGAAUUUUAUCUCUAGGUGAAGAAGCCUAGUUGUAAUUAAAAGACAAGAAGACCCUAUCGAGCUUUAAAAAAAUCAGUAGGUUACAUUAUAAUAAAACUAAAAACCUAGCUACUGAAAAUUUUAGUUGGGGCAACUGAGGAAUAAAGCUUCCUUGAGAAAUAUAAAUUUUACAGAAAAUGAUCCAAAAAUUUUUGAUUAAGGGAAUUAGUUACCGUAGGGAUAACAGCAUAAUCUUUUUUUAGAGUUCUAAUCGAAAAAAGGGUUUGUGACCUCGAUGUUGGAUCAGAAUAUCCUAAAGAUGCAGUAGUCUUUAAGGGUUGGUCUGUUCGACCAUUAAAAUUCUACG